UACGUAGGGUGCGAGCGUUGUCCGGAAUUAUUGGGCGUAAAGAGCUUGUAGGCGGUUUGUCGCGUCUGCUGUGAAAUCUCAAGGCUCAACCUUGAGCUUGCAGUGGGUACGGGCAGACUAGAGUGUGGUAGGGGAGACUGGAAUUCCUGGUGUAGCGGUGAAAUGCGCAGAUAUCGAGAGGAACACCUGCGGCGAAGGCGGGUUGCUGGGCUGAUACUGACGCUGAGGCGCGAAAGCCAGGGGAGCGAACGGG
rnacentral:rRNA from 1 species